UAACGGCCCACCAAACCGACGAUCAGUAGCCGGCCUGAGAGGGCGGACGGCCACAUUGGGACUGAGACACGGCCCAGACUCCUACGGGAGGCAGCAGUGAGGGAUAUUCGGCAAUGGGGGAAACCCUGACCGAGCAACGCCGCGUGAGGGAAGACGGUUUUCGGAUUGUAAACCUCUGUCCCCUGUGAAGAUAGUGACGGUAGCAGAGGAGGAAGCUCCGGCUAACUAC
rnacentral:rRNA from 1 species